rnacentral:rRNA from 1 species
AGAGUUUGAUCAUGGCUCAGGACGAACGCUGGCGGCGUGCUUAACACAUGCAAGUCGAACGGAAAGGCCCGCUUGCGGGUACUCGAGUGGCGAACGGGUGAGUAACACGUGGGUGAUCUGCCCUGGACUCUGGGAUAAGCUGGGAAACUGGGUCUAAUACCGGAUAUGACCUUACAUCGCAUGGUGUUUGGUGGAAAGCUUUUGCGGUUCAGGAUGGGCCCGCGGCCUAUCAGCUUGUUGGUGGGGUAAUGGCCUACCAAGGCGACGACGGGUAGCCGACCUGAGAGGGUGAUCGGCCACACUGGGACUGAGACACGGCCCAGACUCCUACGGGAGGCAGCAGUGGGGAAUAUUGCACAAUGGGCGCAAGCCUGAUGCAGCGACGCCGCGUGAGGGAUGACGGCCUUCGGGUUGUAAACCUCUUUCACCAGGGACGAAGCGCAAGUGACGGUACCUGGAGAAGAAGCACCGGCCAACUACGUGCCAGCAGCCGCGGUAAUACGUAGGGUGCGAGCGUUGUCCGGAAUUACUGGGCGUAAAGAGCUCGUAGGCGGUUUGUCGCGUCGUCUGUGAAAUUCUGCAACUCAAUUGUAGGCGUGCAGGCGAUACGGGCAGACUUGAGUACUACAGGGGAGACUGGAAUUCCUGGUGUAGCGGUGAAAUGCGCAGAUAUCAGGAGGAACACCGGUGGCGAAGGCGGGUCUCUGGGUAGUAACUGACGCUGAGGAGCGAAAGCGUGGGUAGCGAACAGGAUUAGAUACCCUGGUAGUCCACGCCGUAAACGGUGGGUACUAGGUGUGGGGCUCAUUUCACGAGUUCCGUGCCGUAGCUAACGCAUUAAGUACCC